GGCGAAGUCGCUCCUGCAGACCAUCGCGUCUGGCCGCAGUGGAGCUCUAAGAGUCCCUGAAUUCAGACUUCAGGCCGCGCCGUCCGAGAGUCGGGGCCCUUUGAGGUGGCUUAGGCGGUAUCCCUGAGUUGACAGCAUCACCCCGUCCCGCGUCCUCCUCUCCUCUGUUUUGUUUUUCAUCUCUCCCUCCUCCCUCCAGUCCCCGACGACUGGCCCUAGACCCUCGCUGAAGGCUUCUGGUUACUCCCGUUCCCACCCUAUCCCUUAAUUUUAUUUUUCUGAAGAAUCUGCAGUUCAAGCUAUCAAGGUGGAGAGAGCAAUUACAGAAAGACGUGUUCAUUGUUUCAGGUAUUUUACCUACUAGGUGUUAACAGGA
rnacentral:lncRNA from 1 species